AUGAACGCUAGCUACAGGCUUAACACAUGCAAGUCGAGGGGCAGCAUGGUCUUAGCUUGCUAAGGCCGAUGGCGACCGGCGCACGGGUGAGUAACACGUAUCCAACCUGCCGUCUACUCUUGGACAGCCUUCUGAAAGGAAGAUUAAUACAAGAUGGCAUCAUGAGUCCGCAUGUUCACAUGAUUAAAGGUAUUCCGGUAGACGAUGGGGAUGCGUUCCAUUAGAUAGUAGGCGGGGUAACGGCCCACCUAGUCUUCGAUGGGUAGGGGUUCUGAGAGGAAGGUCCCCCACAUUGGAACUGAGACACGGUCCAAACUCCUACGGGAGGCAGCAGUGAGGAAUAUUGGUCAAUGGGCGAGAGCCUGAACCAGCCAAGUAGCGUGAAGGAUGACUGCCCUAUGGGUUGUAAACUUCUUUUAUAAAGGAAUAAAGUCGGGUAUGGAUACCCGUUUGCAUGUACUUUAUGAAUAAGGAUCGGCUAACUCCGUGCCAGCAGCCGCGGUAAUACGGAGGAUCCGAGCGUUAUCCGGAUUUAUUGGGUUUAAAGGGAGCGUAGAUGGAUGUUUAAGUCAGUUGUGAAAGUUUGCGGCUCAACCGUAAAAUUGCAGUUGAUACUGGAUAUCUUGAGUGCAGUUGAGGCAGGCGGAAUUCGUGGUGUAGCGGUGAAAUGCUUAGAUAUCACGAAGAACUCCGAUUGCGAAGGCAGCCUGCUAAGAUGCAACUGACAUUGAGGCUCGAAAGUGUGGGUAUCAAACAGGAUGAGAUACCCUGGUAGUGCACACGGUAAACGAUGAAUACUCGCUGUUUGCGAUAUACAGCAAGCGGCCAAGCGAAAGCGUUAAGUAUUCCACCUGGAGAGUACGCCGGCAACGGUGAAACUCAAAGGAAUUGACGGGGGCCCGAACAAGCGGAGGAACAUGUGGUUUAAUUGGAUGAUACGCGAGGAACCUUACCCGGGCUUAAAUUGCAGAUGAAUUACGGUGAAAGCCGUAAGCCGCAAGGCAUCUGUGAAGGUGCUGCAUGGUUGUCGUCAGCUCGUGCCGUGAGGUGUCGGCUUAAGUGCCAUAACGAGCGCAACCCUUGUUGUCAGUUACUAACAGGUUCCGCUGAGGACUCUGACAAGACUGCCAUCGUAAGAUGUGAGGAAGGUGGGGAUGACGUCAAAUCAGCACGGCCCUUACGUCCGGGGCUACACACGUGUUACAAUGGGGGGUACAGAGGGCCGCUACCACGCGAGUGGAUGCCAAUCCCCAAAACCUCUCUCAGUUCGGACUGGAGUCUGCAACCCGACUCCACGAAGCUGGAUUCGCUAGUAAUCGCGCAUCAGCCACGGCGCGGUGAAUACGUUCCCGGGCCUUGUACACACCGCCCGUCAAGCCAUGGGAGCCGGGGGUACCUGAAGUGCGUAACCGCGAGGAGCGCCCUAGGGUAAAACUGGUGACUGGGGCU
rnacentral:rRNA from 1 species